rnacentral:rRNA from 1 species
AGCAGCCGCGGUAAUUCCAGCUCCAAUAGCGUAUAUUAAAGUUGUUGCGGUUAAAAAGCUCGUAGUUGAACCUUGGGCCUGGCUGGCCGGUCCGCCUCACCGCGUGUACUGGUCCGGCCGGGCCUUUCCCUCUGUGGAACCCCAUGCCCUUCACUGGGUGUGGCGGGGAAACAGGACUUUUACUGUGAAAAAAUUAGAGUGCUCCAGGCAGGCCUAUGCUCGAAUACAUUAGCAUGGAAUAAUAGAAUAGGACGUGUGGUUCUAUUUUGUUGGUUUCUAGGACCGCCGUAAUGAUUAAUAGGGACAGUCGGGGGCAUCAGUAUUCAAUUGUCAGAGGUGAAAUUCUUGGAUUUAUUGAAGACUAACUACUGCGAAAGCAUUUGCCAAGGAUGUUUUCAUUAAUCAGGAACGAAAGUUAGGGGAUCGAAGACGAUCAGAUACCGUCGUAGUCUUAACCAUAAACUAUGCCGACUAGGGAUCGGACGAUGUUAUAUUUUGACUCGUUCGGCACCUUACGGGA